UACGGGGGAGCAAGCGUUGUUCGGAUUUACUGGGCGUAAAGGGCGCGUAGGCGGCGCAACAAGUCACUUGUGAAAUCUCCGGGCUUAACCCGGAGCGGUCAAGUGAUACUGUCGUGCUAGAGUGCGGAAGGGGCUACUGGAAUUCUCGGUGAUAGCGGUGAAAUGCGUAGAUAUCGAGAGGGAAACACCUGCGGGCGAAGGCGGGUAGCUGGGCCGACACUGACGCUGGAUGAGCGAAAGCUAGGGGAGCAAACGGG
rnacentral:rRNA from 1 species